rnacentral:rRNA from 1 species
GUGAGGAAUUUUCCGCAAUGGACGAAAGCCUGACGGAGCAAUGCCGCGUGAAGGAUGAAGGCCUAUGGGUUGUAAACUUCUUUUCUCAGAAAAGAAUUAUGACGGUAUCUGAGGAAUAAGCAUCGGCUAACUCUGUGCCAGCAGCUGCGGUAAGACAGAGGAUGCAAGCGUUAUCCGGAAUGAUUGGGCGUAAAGCGUCUGUAGGUUGUUUAAAAAGUAUUCUGUCAAAGAUUAGGGCUUAACCCUAGAUAGGCAGAAUAAACUUUUAAGCUAGAGUUUGGUAGAGGCAGAGGGAAUUCCCGGUGGAGCGGUGAAAUGCGUAGAUAUCGGGAGGAACACCAAAGGCGAAGGCACUCUGCUGGGCCAAUACUAACACUGAGAGACGAAAGCGAGGGGAGCAAAUGGGAUUAGAAACCCUGGUAGUCC